GUAUCGUUGGUGUACGGAACACGCACCAGUGAUAUAUGAAGAGACUCAUGUCGUCUUGGUGAGACGGGGUUCGAUUCCCCGGCGGUGCA